UAGGGAAUAUUGCUCAAUGGGCGAAAGCCUGAAGCAGCAACGCCGCGUGCGUGAUGAAGGUCUUCGGAUCGUAAAGCGCUUUUCUGGGAGAUGAGAAAGGACAGUAUCCCAGGAAUAAGUCUCGGCUAACUACGUGCCAGCAGCCGCGGUAAAACGUAGGAGGCAAGCGUUAUCCGGAUUCACUGGGCGUAAAGCGCGUGCAGGUGGCGCGGUAAGUUGGGUGUGAAAUCUCCCGGCUCAACUGGGAGAGGUCAUUCAAUACUACCGUGCUCGAGAGCAGAAGAGGAAGAUGGAAUUCCCGGUGUAGUGGUGAAAUGCGUAGAUAUCGGGAGGAACACCAGUGGCGAAGGCGAUCUUCUGGUCUGUUUCUGACACUCAGACGCGACAGCUAGGGUAGUAAACGGG
rnacentral:rRNA from 1 species